AGUGCAUCAGGCGGAUGCCUUGGCGAUGAUAGGCGACGAAGGACGUGUAAGCCUGCGAAAAGCGCGGGGGAGCUGGCAAUAAAGCUAUGAUUCCGCGAUGUCCGAAUGGGGAAACCCACUGCAUUCUGUGCAGUAUCCUAAGUUGAAUACAUAGGCUUAGAGAAGCGAACCCGGAGAACUGAACCAUCUAAGUACCCGGAGGAAAAGAAAUCAACCGAGAUUCCGCAAGUAGUGGCGAGCGAACGCGGAGGAGCCUGUACGUAAUAACUGUCGAGAUAGAAGAACAAGCUGGGAAGCUUGACCAUAGCGGGUGACAGUCCCGUAUUCGAAAUCUCAACAGCGGUACUAAGCGUACGAAAAGUAGGGCGGGACACGUGAAAUCCUGUCUGAAUAUGGGGGGACCAUCCUCCAAGGCUAAAUACUCAUCAUCGACCGAUAGUGAACCAGUACCGUGAGGGAAAGGCGAAAAGAACCCCGGGAGGGGAGUGAAACAGAACCUGAAACCUGAUGCAUACAAACAGUGGGAGCGCCCUAGUGGUGUGACUGCGUACCUUUUGUAUAAUGGGUCAACGACUUACAUUCAGUAGCGAGCUUAACCGGAUAGGGGAGGCGUAGGGAAACCGAGUCUUAAUAGGGCGAUGAGUUGCUGGGUGUAGACCCGAAACCGAGUGAUCUAUCCAUGGCCAGGUUGAAGGUGCCGUAACAGGUACUGGAGGACCGAACCCACGCAUGUUGCAAAAUGCGGGGAUGAGCUGUGGGUAGGGGUGAAAGGCUAAACAAACUCGGAGAUAGCUGGUUCUCCCCGAAAACUAUUUAGGUAGUGCCUCGAGCAAGACACUGAUGGGGGUAAAGCACUGUUAUGGCUAGGGGGUUAUUGCAACUUACCAACCCAUGGCAAACUCAGAAUACCAUCAAGUGGUUCCUCGGGAGACAGACAGCGGGUGCUAACGUCCGUUGUCAAGAGGGAAACAACCCAGACCGCCGGCUAAGGUCCCAAAUGAUAGAUUAAGUGGUAAACGAAGUGGGAAGGCACAGACAGCCAGGAUGUUGGCUUAGAAGCAGCCAUCAUUUAAAGAAAGCGUAAUAGCUCACUGGUCGAGUCGUCCUGCGCGGAAGAUGUAACGGGGCUCAAAUCUAUAACCGAAGCUGCGGAUGCCGGUUUACCGGCAUGGUAGGGGAGCGUUCUGUAGGCUGAUGAAGGUGCAUUGUAAAGUGUGCUGGAGGUAUCAGAAGUGCGAAUGUUGACAUGAGUAGCGAUAAAGCGGGUGAAAAGCCCGCUCGCCGAAAGCCCAAGGUUUCCUACGCAACGUUCAUCGGCGUAGGGUAAGUCGGCCCCUAAGGCGAGGCAGAAAUGCGUAGUCGAUGGGAAACAGGUUAAUAUUCCUGUACUUGAUUCAAAUGCGAUGUGGGGACGGAGAAGGUUAGGUUGGCAAGCUGUUGGAAUAGCUUGUUUAAGCCGGUAGGUGGAAGACUUAGGCAAAUCCGGGUUUUCUUAACACCGAGAAGUGAUGACGAGUGUCUACGGACACGAAGCAACCGAUACCACGCUUCCAGGAAAAGCCACUAAGCUUCAGUUUGAAUCGAACCGUACCGCAAACCGACACAGGUGGGCAGGAUGAGAAUUCUAAGGCGCUUGAGAGAACUCGGGAGAAGGAACUCGGCAAAUUGAUACCGUAACUUCGGGAGAAGGUAUGCCCUCUAAGGUUAAGGACUUGCUCCGUAAGCCCCGGAGGGUCGCAGAGAAUAGGUGGCUGCGACUGUUUAUUAAAAACACAGCACUCUGCCAACACGAAAGUGGACGUAUAGGGUGUGACGCCUGCCCGGUGCCGGAAGGUUAAUUGAAGAUGUGCAAGCAUCGGAUCGAAGCCCCGGUAAACGGCGGCCGUAACUAUAACGGUCCUAAGGUAGCGAAAUUCCUUGUCGGGUAAGUUCCGACCCGCACGAAUGGCGUAACGAUGGCCACACUGUCUCCUCCCGAGACUCAGCGAAGUUGAAGUGGUUGUGAAGAUGCAAUCUACCCGCUGCUAGACGGAAAGACCCCGUGAACCUUUACUGUAGCUUUGCAUUGGACUUUGAAGUCACUUGUGUAGGAUAGGUGGGAGGCUUGGAAGCAGAGACGCCAGUCUCUGUGGAGUCGUCCUUGAAAUACCACCCUGGUGUCUUUGAGGUUCUAACCCAGACCCGUCAUCCGGGUCGGGGACCGUGCAUGGUAGGCAGUUUGACUGGGGCGGUCUCCUCCCAAAGCGUAACGGAGGAGUUCGAAGGUUACCUAGGUCCGGUCGGAAAUCGGACUGAUAGUGCAAUGGCAAAAGGUAGCUUAACUGCGAGACCGACAAGUCGGGCAGGUGCGAAAGCAGGACAUAGUGAUCCGGUGGUUCUGUAUGGAAGGGCCAUCGCUCAACGGAUAAAAGGUACUCCGGGGAUAACAGGCUGAUUCCGCCCAAGAGUUCAUAUCGACGGCGGAGUUUGGCACCUCGAUGUCGGCUCAUCACAUCCUGGGGCUGUAGUCGGUCCCAAGGGUAUGGCUGUUCGCCAUUUAAAGUGGUACGUGAGCUGGGUUUAAAACGUCGUGAGACAGUUUGGUCCCUAUCUGCAGUGGGCGUUGGAAGUUUGACGGGGGCUGCUCCUAGUACGAGAGGACCGGAGUGGACGAACCUCUGGUGUACCGGUUGUAACGCCAGUUGCAUAGCCGGGUAGCUAAGUUCGGAAGAGAUAAGCGCUGAAAGCAUCUAAGCGCGAAACUCGCCUGAAGAUGAGACUUCCCUUGCGGUUUAACCGCACUAAAGGGUCGUUCGAGACCAGGACGUUGA
rnacentral:rRNA from 3 species